CAAAAUCGUGGGGUGAGAGGGGGGAGGGAGGGGGGUUUUGGUCUUGAGUUAUUAAGCUAAGCCUCCCGCCUGCCUGCUUCCACUCUUUACAUUUGCGCUUGUAUUGUUUGACAAAGUAGCACCAUAUAUGACUAAAAUGA
rnacentral:misc_RNA from 1 species